AAUAGUGUGAACCUUUAGACAUGCAACAAACAAGUGAUUUACUUGGGGUGCAUAUGUCCGUUUUCAAGUUUCUCGGUAUGUGGCGAACCGAAGACAAAAGGAGAGAUCUUUGGAGCUACGUCCGAGCAUUUUUCUUUAUCGUGUGCUUAGCUUCGUUGACGACAGUUUCCAUGUUUGCUGCGAGUUUCCAUCAUACUGAGCUGACGGAUAUAAUUAUAAGUCCUCUGUAUACUGGGAAUGCGGUACUGACAGUUACUAAAGCGCUAAACUUCUGCCUUAAAACUAAAAAAAUUGAAGAUUUUCUUAGUCAAGUCGAUAAAAUACCGUUUUUCACGGAAGCUGGGGAAAAGGACACGAAAGUUUCAACAGUUCGAAAAAUUCAGCUUCUACCUAAAAUACUGGGAUUUUCAUUUACGUUUCUGGUUUUCAUUGUGUUAUUGACCCCCGUCAUUCUUGGAAAAAUGACAACAAGCCGAACCCUUCCUACUUGGUAUCCUUUCGAAUGGGAGGGAAAGCUUGGUCUAUGUUUCGUCCUGUUUACUUACGAGCUCUGUGCCGGUUUCACUUUUGUCAUUUUGGACGUUGUUGUGGAUACUUUUAUGGCAUGUCUGCUUCUGAUUAUUGGCGGACAACUCGAGUCCCUUGGGUAUCGGUUCAAAAAUCUGCCAGCUGAUAAUGCCAUAAUGUGGAGGAUUAAAUUCAAGGAAUAUGUUAAGGACUAUAACUCUAUAUACAAACUCAGCAGGGAGUUCGAGAAUCUUUUCUCAGGAAUGAUAUUCAUCCAAGCGUUGUUCAGCUGUUUAUUAAUUUGCCUGAGUGCCUUUGCUUUGGGAUUGGCAACUGAUACUGGAACAUUCAUGCGUUUCGUUGCGUUCAUAUUCACUAUGCUCUAUGAGGUAUUCCUAAUGUGCUACGCAGGAGACUAUCUGACAGAAAAAUCAGAAAAACUACUUUUUGACUUAUAUUCAUCAUCUUGGCCAGAUGUUCCCCAAGAUUGUCGCAAGAUGGUAUUGAUCCUUAGUUUGAAAUUUGGUGAUCCGAUUGUCAUAAAAUUUGGGUUCAUACAGCAUCUACUCCUGCAAACUUUUACAAAGAUCGUUGAUGCCGCCUAUAAACUUUAUGCUUUACUUCAGCAAGUUCCCGAAUGAAGGGCUUCAGCUGAGUGAUUCGACCACCAACGACAAUGGCCAACAUAGUUUUGCACCAAUUUUAUUGUUCUAUGAGGCUCAGCACUACGUUGCCAGUGGUUGUUGGUGAAAUAUUCAAAACAUGUUUAGCUACUACAGAUCAUUUAGGUGUUUCUUCUUUCUUCGUUGCCGGUCAACCACUCCUAUACGGCAUCGUAUACGAUCCGCUGAAAUGCACUUCAAUUCCACCCCAGGAUUUGCCGAGUUACUGUAGUGUCCGUGACUUCGUAACAUGCCCAGUGUUUCAUUCGCCUUUUCCAGGAACAAUCUUACAAAAGAGUGUAUUUAAUAAUAUGUAAUAUUCCCCUCAGCUUUCCCAAUACACUCCUAUCAAUUUGUUAAUAGAUAUCCCAUCCCAACAUUCAUUUAUA
rnacentral:misc_RNA from 1 species